ensembl:lncRNA
ACUGAUUCAUGAACUACUUUGAAUAAUUGAAAAGAACCGACCACAACAUUUUGAACUGUAGUGUACCUUGUGGUGAUGGGCGUGGUUUAGCAGGGUUUGCAGCAGGAGAGAGCGGUUGGAGACAAGCAGUGAGUAAGCAGGUCAACUGCAGAACUAAAAUGAAUUACAAAAUGACAUACAAUACGUGCUGGACCUGAGAACAAAACUCCACACCUUGGGGGCGGCUAUCAGUGGAGAAUUUGUUACAGGCACAGGGUCAGCAAAGCCUGCUAUAUAACGGGGGGCCAGACUACGUCAAUUUGCACUGGGAGAAAAAGUACUUGUAUUGCUUCCUACGUCUAGCUUUAAAUUACUCGCUAAGUGGCAAGGACCCUUUUAGGUCACAAUUAUGAGGUAAUUCGUACAGACAGGAGCAGGGCACAUCAGAUUAACCACCUCAAUGGAAUCAGUGAUGCUAGUGAUGGCAGUGAGUAAGGAGGAGGAUCUCAGGCCAGAAGUGAACAUCAAACAUCAAUAUCUGGCUCUGGCCCCUGGAGGAGAUCACCUCUCGCCCCUGCAGCUCACUGAUGUAGCUAAGCUACUGACUGCUUUUGUGGAUGUGAUUUCAUUCCUGCCUGUUCAAACAGACCUCAUAUAGCACCAUAUUGAGACCAAGCCGGGAGUGGUGAUUCACCUGAACACAAAAAAAGGUGGUUCAGACGGUAUUAGAGGCGAUGCUAGCGAUGGGAGUAAUAGAGGAAUCCACAAAUAUUGGGCAAGCCCAUUAGUUUUAGUACCUAAAACGGACGGCUCUGUGCGAUUCUGUGUGGAUUAUUGCAAGGUGAAUGCUGUGUCGAAAUUCGAUGCAUAUCCAAUGCCGCGGGUCGACAAAUUGAUUGAUCAAUUUUAUUUGACAGUGGAUUUGACUAAAGGAUAUUGGCAGAUCCCCUUAUCACCUUUAUCCAAAGAAAAAACAACGUUCACAACGCCAUUUGGAUUACACCAAUUUGUUAUGCUUUCUUUCGGGUUGUUCAGGACACCGGCCAAAUUUCAGUGCCUCAUGGAGAAAAUUCUGUGGCCGCAUGCUGCAUAUGCCACUGCAUAUUUGUAUGAUAUUAUCAUCUAUAGUAAUGACUGGCAGCUGCAUAUGGAGCACUUGCGUCCAUACUGUGAGCACUGAGGGGGGUCUAGUAUCUGGGCUUCCACUUGGGUCACAGGCAGAUGCGUCCCCAAAUUAGUAAGACUGCAGCGUUUGCAACUUUCCCGAGACCCAAGACCAAAAAGGAGAUGAGGCAGUUCUCUGGGGCUGGCGGGAUAUUAUAGAAGUGAUUGGCGUGGCGAGACCGUAAAAGGAAACAGAAGUGGCAGAGAGAGACAGACUGAGGACUCGUGGCUUGUGGUCUGUGGAGUGGAAAUAAUAUUGCCAUAGUGCUGUGAAUUCAUGUUUACUUUAUGCAUGUGGACGCACCCUUGUUUGAAACUCUGAAUCCCUGAAUAAAUUACCACAAGCCUCAGUCACGCCGAAUUCUUCCUUUCCCCUCAAGAACUUGAAAUAAAUAAACAUACCUAUUUAUUUAUUUAAAGCUAAGCCUAACCAUAAAAA